GUGGGGAAUAUUGGACAAUGGGCGAAAGCCUGAUCCAGCCAUGCCGCGUGUGUGAAGAAGGUCUUCGGAUUGUAAAGCACUUUAAGUUGGGAGGAAGGGCAGUAAGUUAAUACCUUGCUGUUUUGAUGUUACCGACAGAAUAAGCACCGGCUAACUUCGUGCCAGCAGCCGCGGUAAUACGAAGGGUGCAAGCGUUAAUCGGAAUUACUGGGCGUAAAGCGCGCGUAGGUGGUUUUGUAAGUUGGAGGUGAAAUCCCCGGGCUCAACCUGGGAACUGCCUCCAAAACUGCAUGACUAGAGUACGGUAGAGGGUAGUGGAAUUUCCUGUGUAGCGGUGAAAUGCGUAGAUAUAGGAAGGAACACCAGUGGCGAAGGCGACUACCUGGACUGAUACUGACACUGAGGUGCGAAAGCGUGGGGAGCAAACAGGAUUAGAUACCCCGGUAGUCC
rnacentral:rRNA from 1 species